rnacentral:rRNA from 1 species
UACGUAGGUGGCAAGCGUUGUCCGGAAUUAUUGGGCGUAAAGCGCGCGCAGGCGGUCCUUUAAGUCUGAUGUGAAAGCCCACGGCUCAACCGUGGAGGGUCAUUGGAAACUGGGGGACUAGAGUCCGGAAGAGGCAAGUGGAAUUCCCGGUGUAGCGGUGAAAUGCGCAGAUAUCGGGAGGAACACCAAUGGCGAAGGCAGCUUGCUGGGACGGUACUGACGCUGAGGCGCGAAAGCGUGGGGAGCAAACAGG